GUGCCCUUUUAAGGUUGAUACUGUACUUUAAGAGGCUAACACAGAAGGGUAAAGGAACUCUCCAUCAAACCCAGAGAAGAGGCUCCACACUUCCUCUCUGGAUCCUGUCUGGAGUCACAGCU
ensembl:snoRNA small nucleolar RNA SNORA26